rnacentral:rRNA from 1 species
UACGUAGGUGGCAAGCGUUGUCCGGAAUUAUUGGGCGUAAAGCGCGCGCAGGCGGUUAUGUAAGUCUGAUGGUAAAGCCCGGGGCUCAACCUCGGUUCGCAUUGGAAACUGUGUAACUUGAGAGCAGAAGAGGAAAGUGGUAUUCCACGUGUAGCGGUGAAAUGCGUAGAGAUGUGGAGGAACACCAGUGGCGAAGGCAGAUGCCUAUGUCGUAACUGACGCUGAGGCACGAAGGCGUGGGGAGCAAACAGG